rnacentral:misc_RNA from 1 species
AAAGUCGUAACAAGGUCUCCGUUGGUGAACCAGCGGAGGGAUCAUUACCGAGUACUUAACUCAUAACCCUUUGUGAGCCUUCAUAACCUAUUGCUUCGGCGGCGCGGCCCUCGGGUCGUGCCCGCCGGUAUCAUCAGAAUCUCUGUUCGAACCCGACGAUAUCUCUGAGUGUUCUAAGCGAACUGUUGAAACUUUCAACAACGGAUCUCUUGGCUCCA